rnacentral:rRNA from 1 species
UGGGGAAUAUUGCACAAUGGGCGCAAGCCUGAUGCAGCCAUGCCGCGUGUGUGAAGAAGGCCUUCGGGUUGUAAAGCACUUUCAGCGAGGAGGAAGGUGGUGAACUUAAUACGUUCAUCAAUUGACGUUACUCGCAGAAGAAGCACCGGCUAACUCCGUGCCAGCAGCCGCGGUAAUACGGAGGGUGCAAGCGUUAAUCGGAAUUACUGGGCGUAAAGCGCACGCAGGCGGUUUGUUAAGUCAGAUGUGAAAUCCCCGGGCUCAACCUGGGAACUGCAUUUGAAACUGGCAAGCUAGAGUCUCGUAGAGGGGGUAGAAUUCCAGGUGUAGCGGUGAAAUGCGUAGAGAUCUGGAGGAAUACCGGUGGCGAAGGCGGCCCCCUGGACGAAGACUGACGCUCAGGUGCGAAAGCGUGGGGAGCAAACAGAUUAGAUACCCUGGUAGUCCACGCUGUAAACGAUGUCGAUUUUGGAGGUUGUGCCCUUGAGGCGUGGCUUCCGGAGCUAACGCGUUAAAUCGACCGCCUGGGG